GCGGAGGAAAAGAAACCAACUGGGAUUACCUUAGUAACGGCGAGUGAAGCGGUAAAAGCUCAAAUUUGAAAUCUGGUACUUUCAGUGCCCGAGUUGUAAUGUUGUUUGGGAAUGCAGCUCAAAGUGGGUGGUAAAUUCCAUCUAAAGCUAAAUAUUGGCGAGAGACCGAUAGCGAACAAGUACAGUGAUGGAAAGAUGAAAAGAACUUUGAAAAGAGAGUGAAAAAGUACGUGAAAUUGUUGAAAGGGAAGGGCAUUUGAUCAGACAUGGUGUUUUUUGCAUGCACUCGCCUCUCGUGGGCUUGGGCCUCUCAAAAAUUUCACUGGGCCAACAUCAAUUCUGGCAGCAGGAUAAAUCAUUAAGAAUGUAGCUACUUCGGUAGUGUUAUAGCUUUUUGGAAUACUGUUAGCCGGGAUUGAGGACUGCGCUUCGGCAAGGAUGUUGGCAUAAUGGUUAAAUGCCGCCCGUCUUG
rnacentral:rRNA from 1 species